rnacentral:rRNA from 1 species
CGUGUAGGUGGUUUCGUAAGUCUGGCGUGAAAUAUCUCGGCUUAACCGAGGCAGGUCGUCGGAUACUGCGGGACUAGAGGACGGUAGAGGCGUGUGGAAUUCCGGGUGUAGUGGUGAAAUGCGUAGAGAUCCGGAGGAACACCAGUGGCGAAGGCGACACGCUGGGCCGUACCUGACACUGAUGCGCGACAGCAUGGGGAGCAAACA